rnacentral:rRNA from 1 species
CUGCUGCCUUCCGUAGGAGUUUGGACCGUGUCUCAGUUCCAAUGUGGGGGACCUUCCUCUCAGAACCCCUACGCAUCGUCGGCUUGGUGGGCCGUUGCCCCACCAACUACCUAAUGCGCCGCAUGCCCAUCCGUGACCGGGGUCGCCCCUUUGGCCGGCAGGGGAUGUCCCCUCCCGGGCAUUAUGUUGUAUUAGGCGGGAUUUCUCCCGGUUAUCCAUCUGUCACGGCCAGGUUGCAUACGUGUUACUCGCCCGUGCGCCGGUCGCCGGCGG